rnacentral:rRNA from 1 species
UACGUAGGCAGCGAGCGUUGUUCGGAGUUACUGGGCGUAAAGGGUGUGUAGGCGGUUGUUUAAGUUUGGUGUGAAAUCUCCCGGCUCAACUGGGAGGGUGCGCCGAAUACUGAAUGACUCGAGUGUGGGAGAGGUGAGUGGAAUUCCUGGUGUAGCGGUGAAAUGCGUAGAUAUCAGGAAGAACACCAGUGGCGAAGGCGGCUCACUGGCCCGGUACUGACGCUGAGGCGCGAAAGCGUGGGGAGCAAACAGG